AGUGAGGUAGUUCAGUGGGUAAAGACGCUUGCCUAGCCUGCAAGAGGUCCUAGGUUCAAGUCUCAGUACUACAG
rnacentral:tRNA from 1 species